UUGAACAGUUGUAAGAACUGUGUAAAGAAUAUUUGGUGAUGUAGGAACAUACAUAUAAUGAAGCUUUCAUUGAAAAAAAAAAAAAGCAGGAUACAAAUAUAGAGAAAAUUUUCCAUCAUGGAGAGGAGAAAAUGCCAAAUGUUACUAAAUACAGUAGGAAACUAUGCCAAUUGUUACUAAUAAGGCAUACAUUUUAUUAUGCUUUAUGGUGCCUCACAGAAGUUGAACUUUUUACAAAUAGAAGGCAAGACCCUCUACCAGCAAAAAGAUUAUGACUCGUUUUAUUGCAGUACUCACUUUAUUGCAAUACUCACUUUAUUGCAGUGGUCUGGAUCCCACCCACAGCAUCUUCGAGGAGGUAUUCGUGCAUUUUUAUCUCUAGAUGAUGGGAUAACAGGAAAAAGGAAGGAGUGCCUCACGAUCCAGACGGGAAUGCGAGUGCUGAGUCAUCACUCUUCCGAAGGCAAGGAACUCCAGCGAGCGGCUGGGAGGUGAAACUCAUUCAUUAGGUUGGGCUGCAGCCCGCUCCGGACACGGCGCUCCAACCAGGAGGAGCAGGAGCAGGAGGAGGAGGAGGAGGAGGAUGGACAAAAUGGCCGCCGCCACCAGCCAGGCAGGAAACGGGGCAGGGCGCAGGCGCGGCCCGCCAGGUCAC